rnacentral:rRNA from 1 species
GUGGGGAAUAUUGCGCAAUGGGCGAAAGCCUGACGCAGCGACGCCGCGUGUGGGAUGAAGGUCUUCGGAUUGUAAACCACUGUCGCGAGGGACGAAGCUCUGACGGUACCUCGAAAGGAAGCACCGGCUAACUCUGUGCCAGCAGCCGCGGUAAUACAGAGGGUGCGAGCGUUGUCCGGAAUCACUGGGCGUAAAGGGCGCGUAGGCGGCUUGGUAAGUAGGAGGUGAAAUCUCAUGGCUUAACUGUGAGGCUGCCUUCUAGACUGCCGAGCUUGAGCACAGUAGAGGCUAGUGGAAUUCCCGGUGUAGCGGUGGAAUGCGUAGAGAUCGGGAAGAACAUCGGUGGCGAAGGCGGCUAGCUGGGCUGUUGCUGACGCUGAUGCGCGACAGCGUGGGGAGCAAACAGGAUUAGAUACCCGAGUAGUCC